rnacentral:rRNA from 1 species
GAUGAACGCUGGCGGCGUGCUUAACACAUGCAAGUCGAACGAAGCAUUUGCGACAGAUUUCUUCGGAUUGAAGUUGCUUAUGACUGAGUGGCGGACGGGUGAGUAACGCGUGGGUAACCUGCCUCACACAGGGGGGAUAGCAGUUGGAAACGGCUGAUAAUACCGCAUAAGCGCACAGUACCGCAUGGUACAGUGUGAAAAACUCCGGUGGUGUGAGAUGGACCCCGCGUCUGAUUAGCUUGUUGGCAGGGUAACGGCCUACCAAGGCAACGAUCAGUAGCCGACCUAAGAGGGUGACCGGCCACAUUGGGACUGAGACACGGCCCAGACUCCUACGGGAGGCAGCAGUGGGGAAUAUUGCACAAUGGGGGAAACCCUGAUGCAGCGACGCCGCGUGAGCGAAGAAGUAUUUCGGUAUGUAAAGCUCGUAUCAGCAGGGAAGAAAAUGACGGUACCUGACU